rnacentral:rRNA from 1 species
CGGACGGGUGAGUAACGCGUGGGUAACCUGCCUUAUACAGGGGGAUAACAGUUAGAAAUGGCUGCUAAUACCGCAUAAGCGCACAGAGCUGCAUGGCUCGGUGUGAAAAACUCCGGUGGUAUAAGAUGGACCCGCGUUGGAUUAGCUUGUUGGUGGGGUAACGGCCUACCAAGGCGACGAUCCAUAGCCGGCCUGAGAGGGUGAACGGCCACAUUGGGACUGAGACACGGCCCAG